rnacentral:rRNA from 1 species
CCUACGGGUGGCUGCAGUGGGGAAUAUUGCACAAUGGGCGAAAGCCUGAUGCAGCGACGCCGCGUGAGGGAUGACGGCCUUCGGGUUGUAAACCUCUUUCGCUCAUGGUCAAGCCGCAGCUUUGGGUUGUGGUGAGGGUAGUGGGUAAAGAAGCGCCGGCUAACUACGUGCCAGCAGCCGCGGUAAUACGUAGGGCGCGAGCGUUGUCCGGAAUUAUUGGGCGUAAAGGGCUUGUAGGCGGUUGGUCGCGCCUGCCGUGAAAUCCUCUGGCUUAACUGGGGGCGUGCGGUGGGUACGGGCUGACUUGAGUGCGGUAGGGGAGACUGGAACUCCUGGUGUAGCGGUGGAAUGCGCAGAUAUCAGGAAGAACACCGGUGGCGAAGGCGGGUCUCUGGGCCGU